rnacentral:tRNA from 1 species
GGUAGAGUGGCUGAUAUAAGUAUUAGACUGUAAAUCUAAGUAUAAAGGUUGUAAUCCUUUUUCUACCA